AUUGAACGCUGGCGGCAGGCUUAACACAUGCAAGUCGAGCGAGCGGCGGACGGGUGAGUAAGGUCUGGGAAACUGCCUGAUGGAGGGGGAUAACUACUGGAAACGGUAGCUAAUACCGCAAACCAUCAGAUGUGCCCAGAUGGGAUUAGCUAGUGGGGGGGGUAAUGGCUCACCUAGGCGAAGAUCCUUAGCUGGUCUGAGAGGCUGACCAGCCACACUGGAACUGAGACACGGUCCAGACUCCUACGGGAGGCAGCAGUGGGGAAUAUUGCACAAUGGGCGCAAGCCUGAUGCAGCCAUGCCGCGUGUGUGAAGAAGGCCUUCGGGUUGUAAAGCACUUUCAGCGAGGAGGCGUUACUCGCAGAAGAAGCACCGGCUAACUCCGUGCCAGCAGCCGCGGUAAUAC
rnacentral:rRNA from 1 species